CUACGUAAGUGGCUAGCGUUAUCCGGAAUUACUGGGCAUAAAGAGCACGCAGGCGGCAAUCCAAGUCAGAUGUUAAAUCCCACAGCUUAACUGUGGUCCGCAUUUGAAACUAGAUUGCUAGAGAUCAGUAGAGGGAAGCGGAACUCAUAGUGUAGCGGUGAAAUGCGUAGAUAUUAUGAGGAACACCAGUGGCGAAGGCGGCUUCCUGGACUGAUUCUGACGCUGAGGUGCGAAAGCGUGGGAGCGAACGGGAUUAGAAACCCCGGUAGUCC
rnacentral:rRNA from 1 species